GACAGAGGGUGCAAACGUUGUUCGGAAUUACUGGGCGUAAAGCGCGUGUAGGCUGCUUCGAAAGUCGGAUGUGAAAGCCCUGGGCUCAACCUAGGAAGUGCAUUCGAAACUUCGAAGCUUGAGUUCUGGAGAGGAAGGCGGAAUUCUCGGUGUAGAGGUGAAAUUCGUAGAUAUCGAGAGGAACACCGGUGGCGAAGGCGGCCUUCUGGACAGUGACUGACGCUGAGACGCGAAAAGCGUGGGGGAGCAAACAGGGAUUAAGAUACCC
rnacentral:rRNA from 1 species